rnacentral:rRNA from 1 species
GAUGAACGCUAGCUACAGGCUUAACACAUGCAAGUCNGGGGAAACGACAGAGGAAGCUUGCUUCCUUUGGGCGUCGACCGGCGCACGGGUGAGUAACGCGUAUCCAACCUUCCCGCAAGUAAGGGAUAACCCGUAGAAAUGCGGCCUAAUACCUUAUGUUUUCCUUAGAGGGCAUCUGAUGAGGAACAAAGAUCCGUCGCUUGCGGAUGGGGAUGCGUCUGAUUAGUUAGUCGGCGGGGUAACGGCCCACCGAGACGACGAUCAGUAGGGGUUCUGAGAGGAAAGUCCCCCACAUUGGAACUGAGACACGGUCCAAACUCCUACGGGAGGCAGCAGUGAGGAAUAUUGGUCAAUGGGCGAGAGCCUGAACCAGCCAAGUAGCGUGCAGGAUGACGGCCCUAUGGGUUGUAAACUGCUUUUAUGUGGGAAUAAAGUCAGGGACGUGUCCCUGUUUGCAUGUACCACAGGAAUAAGGACCGGCUAAUUCCGUG